rnacentral:tRNA from 1 species
CCAUGCAGAUGGUGGCCGCGGCGAAACUUCGCCGCGCCCAGGACGCUGCAGAAGCUUCUCGUCCAUACACAGAACGGUUCAACGCCGUUCUGGGUGGGC